rnacentral:rRNA from 1 species
AAAACUUUCAACAACGGAUCUCUUGGUUCUGGCAUCGAUGAAGAACGCAGCGAAAUGCGAUAAGUAAUGUGAAUUGCAGAAUUCAGUGAAUCAUCGAAUCUUUGAACGCACAUUGCGCCCUUUGGCACUCCAAGGGGCAUGCCUGUUCGAGCGUCAUUA